rnacentral:rRNA from 1 species
GAUGAACGCUGGCGGCGUGCUUAACACAUGCAAGUCGAGCGAAGCAAUUUAAGUGAAGUUUUCGGAUGGAUCUUAGAUUGACUGAGCGGCGGACGGGUGAGUAACGCGUGGAUAACCUGCCUCACACAGGGGGAUAACAGUUAGAAAUGACUGCUAAUACCGCAUAAGCGCACGGUACCGCAUGGUACAGUGUGAAAAACUCCGGUGGUGUGAGAUGGAUCCGCGUCUGAUUAGGUAGUUGGUGAGGUAACGGCCCACCAAGCCGACGAUCAGUAGCCGACCUGAGAGGGUGACCGGCCACAUUGGGACUGAGACACGGCCCAAACUCCUACGGGAGGCAGCAGUGGGGAAUAUUGCACAAUGGGCGAAAGCCUGAUGCAGCAACGCCGCGUGAGUGAAGAAGUAUCUCGGUAUGUAAAGCUCUAUCAGCAGGGAAGAAAAUGACGGUACCUGACUAAGAAGCCCCGGCUAACUACGUGCCAGCAGCCGCGGUAAUACGUAGGGGGCAAGCGUUAUCCGGAUUUACUGGGUGUAAAGGGAGCGCAGACGGCACUGCAAGUCUGAAGUGAAAGCCCGGGGCUCAACCCCGGGACUGCUUUGGAAACUGUAGAGCUAGAGUGCUGGAGAGGCAAGCGGAAUUCCUAGUGUAGCGGUGAAAUGCGUAGAUAUUAGGAAGAACACCAGUGGCGAAGGCGGCUUGCUGGACAGUAACUGACGUUCAGGCUCGAAAGCGUGGGGAGCAAACAGGAUUAGAUACCCUGGUAGUCCACGCCGUAAAC